CGAUGAGCCCUCCCACAUCAAUCACUAAUUAAGAAAAUGCCCCCACAGACUUGCUUGUAGGUCAGUCCUUUUCCCCCAUUAUCUGUAGGUUUGUAUCUAGUUGACAAAAACCAACCAGCACACAUGAGCUCCUCUGUAAUGUAGCUACUGCACUUGUGAGAAAAACAAACUGAAGGACACAUAUUUGCCAUCAGACACAGCACUCUGAUUCCAGUGCCCAAGGUAGACAUUGCUAAUCGACCACAGGACCAUUUAUUUCUUUUCUAGAACAGUCACUGUUAAUGGAUCAUCCAAGACUCAUGAGGUGAAUGAAACCACUUGGUAUCUGUGAUGGGUGAGCUCUAAAGAUGGAGUUCAUUUUUCCAGGGUUGCCAGUAGGUGACUGAAGAGUUGGUUUCUUAAGCAUCAUGGACUGGUUGUCGAGAAGGAACUGCAGGCUUGCUUGCCUUUUCUACUGUAUUUCAUGAGAGCAGUUGGAGGAAGCCCCAUCACCUAGCCACCUCACCUCACCUGUUCCUGCUGGAGGAACCACAGCUCUGCCUUAGGGGAACACAACUGCAUCAAAUGGAUCUACGCCUCGGGGCAAUGCAUUAUUCUUUAUUGAUUCCAACUCUACCUUAUUAUUGUUGCUUAGCGAGGAAC
rnacentral:lncRNA from 1 species